AUCGCUUCUCGGCCUUUUGGCUAAGAUCAAGUGUAGUAUCUGUUCUUAUCAGUUUAAUAUCUGAUACGCCCUCUAUAUGAGGGCUCUAUAUUAAACGGAUUUUUAGAGCUGGGAGCUGGAAAAGGGGCUUGCUCCGUCCGAUCCACGCAUCGGCCUGGUAUUGCAGUACCUCCGGGAACGGUGCACCCCUC